rnacentral:rRNA from 1 species
UACGUAGGGUGCGAGCGUUGUCCGGAAUUAUUGGGCGUAAAGAGCUUGUAGGCGGUUUGUCGCGUCUGCCGUGAAAAUCCGAGGCUCAACCUCGGACUUGCGGUGGGUACGGGCAGACUAGAGUGUGGUAGGGGAGACUGGAAUUCCUGGUGUAGCGGUGGAAUGCGCAGAUAUCAGGAGGAACACCAAUAGCGAAGGCAGCUCGCUGGGACGUUACUGACACUGAGGCGCGAAAGCGUGGGGAGCGAACAGG